UACGGGGGGGGCAAGCGUUGUUCGGAAUUACUGGGCGUAAAGGGCUCGUAGGCGGCCAACUAAGUCAGACGUGAAAUCCCUCGGCUUAACCGGGGAACUGCGUCUGAUACUGGAUGGCUUGAGUUUGGGAGAGGGAUGCGGAAUUCCAGGUGUAGCGGUGAAAUGCGUAGAUAUCGUAAGGAAGACCAGUGGCGAAGGCGAAUCUCUGGACAGUUACUGACACUGAGGCACGAAGGCCAGGGGAGCAAACGGG
rnacentral:rRNA from 1 species